UUUCCGUAGGUGAACCUGCGGAAGGAUCAUUAAUGAAACAUAGGACACUCUUUUUAGAGGUCCGAACUUCAUUUCAUCACCCUGUGCACAGACUACUAUACACACCUUUUUUAACUCUAAGAGUUGUAAGAAUGUAAACAGUCUCGUAAAGAGCAUAAUAAAUAAAACUUUCGGCAACGGAUCUCUUGGCUCCUGCAUCGAUGAAGAACGCAGC
rnacentral:misc_RNA from 1 species